UACGUAGGGUGCAGGCGUUAAUCGGAAUUACUGGGCGUAAAGCGUGCGCAGGCGAUUUGCUAAGACAGGUGUGAAAUCCCCGGGCUUAACCUGGGAACUGCGCUUGUUACUGGCAGGCUUGAGUGUGGCAGAGGGGGGUGGAAUUCCACGUGUAGCAGUGAAAUGCGUAGAGAUGUGGAGGAACACCGAUGGCGAAGGCAGGUCUCUGGGCUGACACUGACGCCCAUGCACGAAAGCGUGGGGAGCAAACAGG
rnacentral:rRNA from 1 species